rnacentral:rRNA from 1 species
GGCUGGAGGGCGGCGGGCGUUUCGCGCACACAAAUACUACAUGAUGAGAUGACUCUCGGCAACGGAUAUCUUGGCUCUCGCAUCGAUGAAGAACGUAGCGAAAUGCGAUACUUGGUGUGAAUUGCAGAAUCCCGCGAACCAUCGAGUCUUUGAACGCAAGUUGCGCCUGAGGCCAUCCGGCC